rnacentral:rRNA from 1 species
UACAGAGGUCUCAAGCGUUGUUCGGAAUUACUGGGCGUAAAGCGUGCGUAGGUGGUUCGUUAAGUCUGAUGUGAAAGCCCUGGGCUCAACCUGGGAAUGGCAUUGGAAACUGGCGACCUAGAGUGCGGUAGAGGGUAGUGGAAUUCCCGGUGUAGCAGUGAAAUGCGUAGAGAUCGGGAGGAACAUCCGUGGCGAAGGCGACUACCUGGACCAGCACUGACACUGAGGCACGAAAGCGUGGGGAGCAAACAGG